rnacentral:lncRNA from 1 species
CUAGUCGGAAUGUUGACGUUUCUAUCACAUGCUGGAUUCUGUGGUAGUAGCGUGCUGAAUGAAGUGGACUUGUAACAACAGCUGAUAUAUUCGUUGUAAAAUCUGCACCCGAUUCUUCUCGGCUAUUUGGAUGAAACGAGGGUGACCUAGACUCUGAAUGUGCAGGAGUCUUGUUCAUGUGAUAACUGCAGUUUUGGGUUGUUUCUCGUGCUACAAAUGAUCUGUUACUGAAGCAAGCCAGCUGUUUCAGUUCGGAGUAAUUGGUGAUCAAGGUGAUGAGGCGGAAUUCUAACGCCUUGUAUGGCUGCAGAUCCAGGUGUAGCACCAAGUAUCUCACAGUAGAGACGAUGUGAUGGAAGCAACCAGGGGUUGGUGUUUUCGGGUCGACAGAGUUGUAAGUGGAGAAUCACAGAGAUAUUUAGCGUCCUCAGAGAAGAGAACGAAGACGCGGUGCUGACCACGCCAAAUCAGACAUUCAGAGCAGCUCUGGUGCUCCACGGAAAGGACAUAUCAGGGAAAAUGGGCUAUGACAGAUGUAUACAGAUUCUAUCGGUUCUUCUUUUGUGCGGGGCGAGUUGGGCGCAGGGUCCUGUAGCGGCGCCAGCCCCGUCUUUUACACCUGCUGAUGCAAUUCGUAUCGCGUGUGGCUCAGCUUCCGAUGUCAAAAUUGGUACCCGGGUUUUUUUAGCUGACGUUCAAGGUACUGGACAAGGGGUUGCAGGAAGAACAAAUCAGAAUAACGGUGCUUUGUCGGCGUACGCUCCACUUCUCACCUCUGCGAGGUUCUUCACUUCUGCAUUUAACUACAAUUUCACGGUUAGUCCAGGGAGACAUUGGGUUCGCCUGUUCUUCUAUCCAUUUGCGUUCUCAUCUUUUCAGCCGAGUAAUUCAUUCUUUGACAUAAGUACCAAGGAGGUCGGUCUUCUCUCCAACUUCAGCGCAGUGACCUUCGUCACCGCAGACAGCCCUUAUUUUGUUCGAGAGUACUUCCUGAACAUCACUUCAAAGGACCUCGUUCUUACUUUCAUUCCACGGUCAAAUUCGUAUGCUUUCAUAAACGCCAUAGAGAUUGUGUCUGCGCCAGAUGGAAUGGUACAGGGUGGCGCGCCUACACUGGGUGGAGGCAGUCUUACUUACCCUGGCCUGAGCCAGUCGGCCCUGCAGACUAUGUACCGUCUCAAUGUUGGAGGAGGCACCGUUGCACCGGAUGAUGAUUCAGCGAACCUGAGCAGGACGUGGAUUCCAGACACACCCUAUAAACUUCUCAACACUCCAGGAGUGUCGGUAGAGGCAAACGCUACAAAGAUUACGUACACCGAUGUUGCAGAGUAAGUUGCAGCUUGCCCUUGCAUGAACAUGUAACAGGUCUUAUCACUACAUGUGGGUUUACAGUAUCUACGAUUUGCAUCAUUAUGGUGCAGUUGCCAGAAGUUUGUACAGUUGGAGACAUGAGCCAUUAACUCUGACGGGUGCGCUUUUCUUUUGGUCUGAGAAAGAUAUAUUGCUCCUGCUACCGUUUAUGCGAGCGGGCAAGCGUUGGAAGAUAAUGAUGUGGCGAACGCAAAUGCUGCACUCAACUGGAAUUUCACAGUCGACAACAACUUCACUUACUUGGUGCGUUUGCACUUCUGCGAGCUUCAGUACCAGCGGCUCUAUGAGCGGGUUUUCAUUAUUGAGAUAAACCGUGUAGCCAUUUACCAAUUUUUCGACAUCAUAGAAGAAGCCGGAGCUGCCUACACUCCCUUGUACAGAGACUUCAUGGUGCCCAUGAUCAAUACCUAUCCGAAAAUAAAUGUUAGGAUCGCCCCUGACCGUAGUAAUCCAAAUGCCAAGAAUGUUCUGUUGAAUGGUCUGGAGAUUUUCAAGGUUAACAACGCGAACUCCAGUCUUGCAGGUCCCAACCGUAUUAUAGAGCCAAACACUACCUCUGGUGGUACACAAACUACAAAUUCAAGCUCGAGCUCCAACUUAGGUGCCAUCAUCGGUGCGUCCAUCGGAGGCGUAGCCGCUGUUCUUGCGGCGGCUGCGUUGGUCAUCUUUUGUUGCUACAAGAAGAAGACCAAGUCUGACAAGCCUGGCGCACCAAGUCAUUGGCUCCCGCUGCCUCUGCACGGCAGCAGUACUGACCACAGCAAAGUGUCGACUAGUUCGGCGAAGAGUGGGAAGAGUGGUGCAGGAAGUUAUGUUUCUUCAGUUCCAUCCAACCUGGGCAGGUACUUCAGCUUCGCGGAGCUCCAAGAAGCCACGAACAACUUCGACGAGUCUUUGGUUUUGGGAGUGGGUGGAUUCGGCAAGGUGUACAAGGGUGAGACUGAUGAUGGGUCGAAAGUGGCGGUGAAGCGGGGAAACCCCAGGUCAGAGCAGGGUCUAAACGAGUUCCAAACCGAGAUAGAGCUUCUGUCGAAACUCCGACAUCGGCACCUGGUGUCACUGAUAGGGUACUGCGAGGAACACGGUGAGAUGAUUCUUGUAUAUGAUUACAUGGCCAACGGUCCGCUCAGGGGUCACCUGUAUGGAACAGACGAGGCUCCUCUGUCGUGGAAGCAGAGGCUGGAGAUUUGUAUCGGUGCAGCACGAGGAUUGCAUUACCUACACACCGGCGCGGCGCAAGGGAUCAUUCACAGGGAUGUGAAAACCACGAACAUCCUUCUGGACGAGAACUUCGUUGCCAAGGUGGCUGACUUCGGGUUGUCGAAAAUCGGGCCCGCGAAUGAAGUCACGCACGUGAGCACAGCCGUGAAGGGCAGCUUCGGGUACCUGGAUCCCGAGUAUUUCCGCAGACAGCAGCUGACGGAGAAGUCAGACGUGUACUCCUUCGGUGUCGUUCUCAUGGAGGUGCUGUGUGCACGACCGGCAAUCAAUCCGGCCCUUCCUCGAGAGGAGGUGAACUUGGCCGACUGGGCAAUCAAGUACCACAAAGCUGGCAUGCUGGAUAAGAUCGUGGAUGAGAAGCUGCGGGAUACAAUCAACCCCGACUCGUUGAAAACAUUCGGCGACACCGUCGAGAAAUGUCUGCAGGAGCGAGGUAUCGAUCGACCUUCCAUGGGUGACGUCCUGUGGAAUUUGGAGUACGCCUUGCAACUACAUGAAGCAUCUGUGAAGGGCGCCAUGUCCAGCCUUGAUCAAGGGAACUUUAGCACCGACUCUGAUAACAGCCACAUGAUCUCCGUGCCGUUGGUUGCACCCAACCUUUUCGAUGACUCGUUGACGAUGGACAUAGAACGAAGAAUGCUGGAGGAGACCGCGUCCGAGGACCAAUCGGCGAGCGCCAUAUUCUCUCAGUUGAUCAACGCUCAAGGAAGGUAAAGCACAGACGAUAGGGAGUUGAUAAACCACAAGAUGAAGGAGGCGGCGAGUAUCCAGGAAGGGAUUGUCUGACUGCUGUAGACCGAACAAAUGUAGUUGUAGUUGAUGUGGUUUUUUACAUAAAAAAAUAAUAUUUAUGUAUCGCUUCAUUUGGCUAACUUCGAGUUUGAUUGGCAUUGCGCGAGGUCAUCUGGAGUUUGGGUAGUUCUGGGUUUAUCAACAAAACUCUGUUGGCUUUGUUUGUGUUGUGGACACGUUGUAAUCCGCUUCGUUUGUAAUAUGUGUGUGAGGUGUACAUUACGAAGUUUGUCAUGAAAGUUAAGGUGGUUUCACUGAUUCGAUUCAACGUAGGCGAAGUAGUCAAGAAUCUGUUGGCACAGCAGGGUCCAAUGACUGAGCGUUGGAUGGCUAUCAAUCUCGUGCACCAUCUUGUGAAGUAAAAUGCAGGUUCGAAUAAAAGUCACUGCUGGGGUUGUUUCUGUGUUUAUGUUCCAAUGAGAUAUUAAUAUGCGAGUGCCUGUUGUGGCUCGAUCAUAAGCAUCUUUCAGCAAUGUACCUCACUCAUUGUGGUUUACAUAUUACAGAUCUUCCAACUUUUUUAUCCACAUUUUAAGCAUCUCUUUUUAACACCACCCUCCGCCAAUUUGAGCCUCACAAACUGUUUGGUGCCUAUGCAUCUCGUGUGCUGCAUGUAGGUGUGUGUGAUAUUUUCCGGUGUGCUCUGUGGCAUGGAAAUGGCUGUACUUGAGACUGUAGCAGGUUGUGUUGAUUGUUCUCUUUGGGAGCUGCCCGUCGGCCGAAGACAGAAUACGGGGCAUUUUGAUCGCUCCAAAAGGAAGCAUCGAAGGGAAGGGCAUUGCUCCAACGACGCAAGUCUCUGGAUUAUCAGAUUCCACAAACACACCUGAUGAAGUCACAGACGAGGCUGGCACUCUUGUUGGACACGGAUUUUGUGUCCUGAAACUAAAGGUAGGCAUGGCAGACUUUGAUGAACUUCGGUUGAAGUAAUGAUCUACGAACAGGAUCUGUACGAGGCAGAGUCCUGUCCACACUAUUCACAUUUGGAACAGGUAUGGGGCUCACAACCCAAUGACAUCAGCAGACCAACGGCAUGAUGUUUUGUUGAAUGUAGAUGCUCAGCCGACGCAUUUUGUCAGCUGCGGCUUUGGGUGAUUUAAUGCGUUUCUGAUAGGGUAUGGCUACUUGAAUGUCUAUCCAGAUUGGUCGGCGCGCUACUCCACAAUAGGAUGCACCAGUCACACAAUCAGUUAGAGAGGGUGUAGGAGCUGAUGGAAAGGUCUGAGCAGACGCAAUUCGGAAGGGGUCUCACUAACAGGCCACUGAGUUUGCAAAUCUUGUUAAGGAGUGCGACAUAGAAUAUUUAGAGGUACGGAAUCGAACACUUGAUCAUAAGAUGGUCGUUCACUGCAGCAGCACACAUGUUAAGAAGACUCCACCGCAAAGAAAGUACAAUUGUUGUCGGUAGUUAAUGUCAGAGUCGUUUGCAUUAACAAUUAUUUCCCGAGACUCCAGCAAACGUAUAUAAAUCUACUCUUUGACAUCCUUUAUUCGAGUUACUUCGUGCGAAUCAGCGAUGCGUAAUUUAUGUUACUAUCUCCUCUGCACAAGAGCAAUAGUUUCAUUGUUUUAUACUGGAGUGUUAGCAAUGUUCGCUUUUUAAACUUAUUGGAAAGCCUGGAAAUUUCAUGAUACUCGCAAUGUGUACGGGCAUGGAUUUCAGGUGGAUAGCACUUAUCACCAUGUGUAAUCUGAAGCAGUUAUGUCAGUUUUGAGAGAGCAUAUUCGUUUCAGAGGACUUCCUCAAAUUUUUCUCAGGGUGUGGCAUUGUGCAGGAAUAUGUUAAGAUCUCAAAAGAUAUACCGAGAUUUUGUAAGGAGAGUGGGAUACCUAUUGCUUUAGAUGAAAGCGUUGACGAGGAUACAUCGUUCUGGAGUGAAAUGCUUGAAAGAAUUGCAUCAGAGGGCGUAAUGGCUGUUGUAAUUUUUCCUGGUCGCGUGGGAUCGUUUGAACAAGCUGUGUCAUUGCGGAGUGGGCACAUAGCCGAGGCAUAGUAGCUGUUAUCAGCUCAGAUAUGAAAACAAAUAUUGGUUUAACUGCUUAUGCCCAUCUAGUUACUUCUGGUGAUGGAAGGUGUCUAUGGACGCACACAUCGAAUCAACAGAAAACCUCACGGGAUGGUGCUAUUACGCAUGGGCUGGGUACUUACAAGUGGUCUGUUGGAGACCAGUGAGAGGAAGGGGAUCGUAAAAGUUUUACACUCAUGCACAGUGGACAAUGAAGAGGGCCGCGAAUUGACCGAAGGCUGCUGGGAGUGUGUAACAACCACAACGGCGGGCACUAUUUUGAAUGAAUGGAACUCACUUGCUCCAGAUGUUCACCAGCACUGCUUCCACCACGCUGAUGAAUGGUAUUGGUGCCCUUCUCUGUGAGUAAUGUUUACUUUGGUAAUGUUAGGAUUUUGGUAUUGAAGCACUUUGUGGUCUUUCAGUGAUCUUUCAGCUCCUCCACGUCGUUAAUCCAACUCCACCAUCUUUCGGUUUUGACAGAUGUAUGCUCGCCUGGAUCUCCAGCGAUUCGAUCAAUGCGCGUGUCUGCAUAUCCGACGCCCGAGAAGUACCAUUCUGGGCACGGUAUGAUUGUUUUGGUCACAGUAGAUGCUAUUGAAAAUCCAGCCAUUUGCGAGGAUGAGAGAAAUGAACCGAACCCACCUUCAUGUAUCACCUGAGCAACAGCACUCCCAAGAUUCCCUUCACUAAUUUCUAUCGUUGAAACAGUGCCAAUACUUGCUUCCAAUAUGUAAACGAUAGAAGAAAAAAAAUCCACGUAUCUCAAUGCUGAAUAUAAGACUUCAGAACAAAAACGUGACUUUCACACAUAGGAAACUGAAUUGCAUUAUUCCCAUCGGCAAAUUUACAUUUUUCAUGGAAGAUUUUGAGAAAACUUUGAGAUAGUAGCAAAAUCUUUUUGCUCUAUAUUAUCUCCUACAUGGGUCACAAAAAAUUUGCUAAAUUCCAUGUCACAUUCAACCUGGAAGCAUUCGAAGGGAUGGGGGGGAGAUUCUGACGAAAGCAGCAGUGGCUCCGCCUACUCCGUCGACUCGGUCGCGGGAGGCGCACCCCAUGACCGCGAGCACAUGAGCCCCAUUAACUUUGCGCACAUUACGGCACGGUAACAGGAAUCCCACCUUAGAGGCAGACGCCGGUAACAGCGGUGAAGGGGGGGAGAGCGGGACUGGCGAGGAAUGGGGAUUCAUCCAGCUUCAUCGUCAUCGCCGAGCUGAAGCAACUGCACAACCAGCUGUGUUGCUGCUGUUCGAUGCUGGGCAGGACAACCACGCAGCUCACCUGCCUGCCUGUUGAUCUUUUGCUAGGCCCCUCCGAAACCCCGUCCGUCCGUAUCCCGUCAAUGGUCACUUGCACUUGUGUGAAGCCAUAGCCACUGACGCCGUCGCCGCUGCUGCUGCUGCUGCUGCUGCUGAUGGUGUGACCGAUCAAAUGGUUUCGUGACAGUGCCACAGCCCAGGUACUUCGGAUCUUUCCUUUCGACUUACAUUUGGGUUUCAAUCGGUGGAAGGACUGUAUGCGGAGAGCGCGUUUACCGUAUCGAGACUGUGGGGGGUUGUGUUUAGUAACCGGGUGGGUCUCAGAGUGAUCUAUGAGGACUGGGAUGGAGGUCGGAUAUGGCUCCGUGAGGUGAGAAUGCCGGUAUUGUAGCUUAUAUUUGUGCCUGUCAGGGUUGGAAACGAGGGUUAAGGGUUUCGUAUUUGUGUGUGUGUGUGUGUGUGUUUCGGAGAGCUGCCCGGAGGCGACGGGGUGUCGUGUUUCGCUUGAAGCCUUACAAUGUUCGCUUCAGCUCUUCGGUAGAGCAUAUGGGUCAUGAUGGAAGUGAGGAAGGGUUCCCAGAGUUCACCACGAUUGUUUCUUGACCAUAGUGAUACCCUCAAAUGCUUCGCCGCGACUGCGAGGGGCUGGUUGUGGAACAGUAGGUUAGAGAAUGUGUCUUGUAAUGCAUGCGAUAGGCCACAUUCAUUUGCCAUUCACGAUACGACAAUGGCUGGCAUCGUCUGGUGUCUCGGAGAGUGCUUUGUACUGUUCGUAAACGAUUUUGGCCCGUGCGUUAUCAUUGAAAUGCUCACUUGUACUCUGCUUUAGCGGUUCUUAUAGUCAUCUGCUCAGUGUCGUUUUCUUAAACCAGGGCAAAAAUGCCUGCAACCUAGAUGGUUGAUCCUGCGAACUUAACUAUGUCCAGCGUUGCAAGCCUCGGUUUUAUGUGUUUUGGACCAGUGUGCUUGUUCUUCCUUGUUCCGAGUCAGACAACCUUCCUAGUCGGAAUGUUAACAUUUCUAUCACACACUGAAUUCUGUGGUAGUAGCGUCCAUGCCGAAUGAAGUGGACUUGUAACAUCAGCUGAAAUAUUCGUUGUAAAAUCUGCACCCGAUUCUUCUCGGCUAUUUGGAUGAAACGAGGGUGACCUAGACUCUGAAUGUGCAGGAGUCUUGUUCAUGUGAUAACUGCAGUUUUGGGUUGUUUCUCGUGCUACAAAUGAUCUGUUACUGAAGCAAGCCAGCUGUUUCAGUUCGGAGUAAUUGGUGAUCAAGGUGAUGAGGCGGAAUUCUAACGCCUUGUAUGGCUGCAGAUC